rnacentral:rRNA from 1 species
GCACAAGCGGCGGAGCAUGCGGAUUAAUUCGAUGCAACGCGAAGAACCUUACCUGGGUUUGACAUAUACCGGAAACAUCUAGAGAUAGGUGCCCUUUUGGUCGGUAUACAGGUGGUGCAUGGCUGUCGUCAGCUCGUGUCGUGAGAUGUUGGGUUAAGUCCCGCAACGAGCGCAACCCUCGUCCUAUGUUGCCAGCGGAUAAUGCCGGGGACUCAUAGGAGACCGCCGGGGUCAACUCGGAGGAAGGUGGGGAUGACGUCAAGUCAUCAUGCCCCUUAUGUCCAGGGCUUCACGCAUGCUACAAUGGCCGGUACAAAGAGCUGCGAACCUGCAAGGGUGAGCGAAUCUCAAAAAGCCGGUCUCAGUUCGGAUUGGGGUCUGCAACUCGACCCCAUGAAGUCGGAGUCGCUAGUAAUCGCAGAUCAGCAACGCUGCGGUGAAUACGUUCCCGGGGCUU